rnacentral:snRNA from 1 species
GAAUGUAUCAGCAAUCUGACUGCAACAUCUGUCACCCCAGUGAUCGCCAGGGUUGAUUUGGCUGAUCUGGCUGGCUAGGCGGGUGUCCCACCCUCCCUCACCACUGCAUGUUGAGUCCCUCCCAAAGCUGCGCACUCAGUCAAAAAGGACAAUCACCUCUGAAAGAGGAGAACCGUUUCCUCGGUCAAGGGGAUAGGAGUAGUUUCCCUCCCCUGCUAGAACUCCAAACAAGCACUCAAGAUUAGAAAGAGGGGAGGAGAGGAUAGCUCAAUGCAAAGGCUCAGACUU